rnacentral:rRNA from 1 species
CCUACGGGGGGCAGCAGUGAGGAAUAUUGGUCAAUGGCCGCAAGCCUGAACCAGCCAAGUCGCGUGAGGGAAGACUGUCCUAUGGAUUGUAAACCUCUUUUAUGGGGGGGCAAAGGAGUCCACGUGUGGCUGUCCGCAGGUACCGCAUGAAUAAGCACCGGCUAAUUCCGUGCCAGCAGCCGCGGUAAUACGGAAGGUGCGGGCGUUAUCCGGAUUUAUUGGGUUUAAAGGGAGCGCAGGCGG